rnacentral:rRNA from 1 species
CUGGAGGUAUCAGAAGUGCGAAUGCUGACAUAAGUAACGAUAAAGCGGGUGAAAAGCCCGCUCGCCGGAAGACCAAGGGUUCCUGUCCAACGUUAAUCGGGGCAGGGUGAGUCGACCCCUAAGGCGAGGCCGAAAGGCGUAGUCGAUGGGAAACGGGUUAAUAUUCCCGUACUUGGUGUUACUGCGAAGGGGGGACGGAGAAGGCUAUGUUGGCCGGGCGACGGUUGUCCCGGUUUAAGCGUGUAGGUGUGUGUUCCAGGUAAAUCCGGUUCACUUUAACACUGAGGCGUGACGACGAGGCACUACGGUGCUGAAGCAACAAAUGCCCUGCUUCCAGGAAAAGCCUCUAAGCAUCAGGUAACAUCAAAUCGUACCCCAAACCGACACAGGUGGUCAGGUAGAGAAUACCAAGGCGCUUGAGAGAACUCGGGUGAAGGAACUAGGCAAAAUGGUGCCGUAACUUCGGGAGAAGGCACGCUGACACGUAGGUGAAGUGAUUUACUCAUGGAGCUGAAGUCAGUCGAAGAUACCAGCUGGCUGCAACUGUUUAUUAAAAACACAGCACUGUGCAAACACGAAAGUGGACGUAUACGGUGUGACGCCUGCCCGGUGCCGGAAGGUUAAUUGAUGGGGUCAGCGCAAGCGAAGCUCCUGAUCGAAGCCCCGGUAAACGGCGGCCGUAACUAUAACGGUCCUAAGGUAGCGAAAUUCCUUGUCGGGUAAGUUCCGACCUGCACGAAUGGCGUAAUGAUGGCCAGGCUGUCUCCACCCGAGACUCAGUGAAAUUGAACUCGCUGUGAAGAUGCAGUGUACCCGCGGCAAGACGGAAAGACCCCGUGAACCUUUACUAUAGCUUGACACUGAACAUUGAGCCUUGAUGUGUAGGAUAGGUGGGAGGCUUUGAAGUGUGGACGCCAGUCUGCAUGGAGCCGACCUUGAAAUACCACCCUUUAAUGUUUGAUGUUCUAACGUGGACCCGUGAUCCGGGUUGCGGACAGUGUCUGGUGGGUAGUUUGACUGGGGCGGUCUCCUCCUAAAGAGUAACGGAGGAGCACGAAGGUUGGCUAAUCCUGGUCGGACAUCAGGAGGUUAGUGCAAUGGCAUAAGCCAGCUUGACUGCGAGCGUGACGGCGCGAGCAGGUGCGAAAGCAGGUCAUAGUGAUCCGGUGGUUCUGAAUGGAAGGGCCAUCGCUCAACGGAUAAAAGGUACUCCGGGGAUAACAGGCUGAUACCGCCCAAGAGUUCAUAUCGACGGCGGUGUUUGGCACCUCGAUGUCGGCUCAUCACAUCCUGGGGCUGAAGUAGGUCCCAAGGGUAUGGCUGUUCGCCAUUUAAAGUGGUACGCGAGCUGGGUUUAGAACGUCGUGAGACAGUUCGGUCCCUAUCUGCCGUGGGCGCUGGAGAACUGAGGGGGGCUGCUCCUAGUACGAGAGGACCGGAGUGGACGCAUCACUGGUGUUCGGGUUGUCAUGCCAAUGGCACUGCCCGGUAGCUAAAUGCGGAAGAGAUAAGUGCUGAAAGCAUCUAAGCACGAAACUUGCCCCGAGA